GACGAACGCUGGCGGCGUGCUUAACACAUGCAAGUCGAACGGAAAGGCCCUGCUUUUGUGGGGUGCUCGAGUGGCGAACGGGUGAGUAACACGUGAGUAACCUGCCCUUGUCUUUGGGAUAACUUCUGGAAACUGGGGCUAAUACCGGAUAGGAGCUCCUGAUGCAUGGUGGGGGUUGGAAAGUUUCGGCGGUUGGGGAUGGACUCGCGGCUUAUCAGCUUGUUGGUGGGGUAGUGGCUUACCAAGGCUUUGACGGGUAGCCGGCCUGAGAGGGUGACCGGCCACAUUGGGACUGAGAUACGGCCCAGACUCCUACGGGAGGCAGCAGUGGGGAAUAUUGCACAAUGGGCGGAAGCCUGAUGCAGCAACGCCGCGUGCGGGAUGACGGCCUUCGGGUUGUAAACCGCUUUCGCCUGUGACGAAGCGUGAGUGACGGUAAUGGGUAAAGAAGCACCGGCUAACUACGUG
rnacentral:rRNA from 1 species